CAUGGCUCAGGAUGAACGCUGGCGGCGUGCCUAAUACAUGCAAGUAGAACGCUGAAGCUUGGUGCUUGCACUGAGCGGAGGAGUUGCGAACGGGUGAGUAACGCGUAGGUAACCUGCCUCCUAGCGGGGGAUAACUAUUGGAAACGAUAGCUAAUACCGCAUAAAAGUCGACAUUGCAUGAUGUUAACUUGAAAGGUGCAACUGCAUCACUAAAGGAUGGACCUGCGUUGUAUUAGCUAGUUGGUGAGGUAACGGCUCACCAAGGCGACGAUGCAUAGCCGACCUGAGAGGGUGAUCGGCCACACUGGGACUGAGACACGGCCCAGACUCCUACGG
rnacentral:rRNA from 1 species